CUGCUCGCCGACUGGUUCCUCGAGUCGUCCGGCAGCGCGUCCCUCUCCGCCGUCGAGCACCCCAAGCUGAAGAACUUCCUGCGCCAGGUCGGGCUCCCGGAGAUAUCGCGAGCCGACCUCGCCGGCGCGCGCCUGGACACGCGCUUCGCCGAGGCCCGUGCCAACGCCACCGCGCGCUUCCGCGAGGCGCGGUUCUUCCAGCUCGUGGCCGACGGCCUGCGCGAGCAGGUGAUCACCCUCUCCGUCAACCUCCCCAACGACACGUCCGUGUUCCACCGCGUCGUGCCCAUGCCCGCGCCGGCGUCGGCGUCCCCUGACUACGCCCAGGAGUUGUUCCUGGACGCGGCAUCGUCCGUCUCCGCCUCCUCCGGCGACAUUCGGCAUUGCGCCGGCGUCAUCGCCGACCGCUUCGGCUCCAAGACUCUGCGUGAUCUCGAGACCAAGCACCAUUGGAUGGUGAACCUUACCUGCCAAGUCCAUGGCCUGUCCCGCUUGGUAAGCGACAUGGCGCGGGAGCUCCCACUCUUCAACAACGCUGCGUCAAAUUGCGCCAAGAUCGCCGGCUACUUCAACACCACGCCCUCCGUGCGCGCGCUGCUGCAUAAGCACCAAGUCCAGGAGCACGGGCACGCCUUCCUCCUCCCCAUUGCCGCUCCGCCGUAUAAUGGCGGGGAAUUUGCCGCCGCGUUCGUGAUGCUCGAGAGCAUCCUGACCUCGGCGCGGCCGCUCCAGCUCGCCGUGCUCGAGGAGUCCUACAAGGUGGUCUGCAUCGAUGACCCUUCCGCGAGGGAGAUCGCGGCCAUGGUGCAGAAUGUGGCAUUCUGGACCGAGGUCGAGGCGACGCAUUCGGUCGUGAAGAUGAUCAUGGACUUGGUGAAGGAGAUGGAGACCGAGAGGCCCCUGGUCGGGCAAUGCCCGCCGCUCUGGGAGGACCUGCGUGGCAAGGUCAGAGGUUGGUGCCGGAAAUUCAGCGUAGAAGCGGCCACUGCCAUGAAUGUGGUCGAGAGGAGGUUCAGGAAGAACUACCACCCGGCGUGGUCAGCGGCAUUCAUACUGGACCCAUUGUAUCUGAUCAAGGACGGCGGCAGGAGGUACCUUCCACCGUUCAACUACUUGACACCAGAGCAGGAGAAGGACGUGGACAGGCUGAUCACGAGGCUGGUUUCGUCGGAGGAGGCGCACCUCGCGCUGAUGGAGCUGAUGAAAUGGCGGUCGGAAGGGCUCGACCCAUUGUACGCGCAGGCGGUGCAGGUCCGGCAGCCAGACCCAUCAACGGGGAAGAUGAAGAUAACCAACAAGCAGAGCAGCCGGCUGGUGUGGGAGACAUGCCUCAGUGAGUUCAAGUCACUUGGCAAAGUGGCCGUCAGGCUCAUCUUCCUCCGUGCAACCGCCAAGGGGUUCAAAUGCACGCCGUCGAUGACGCGGUGGCUCACCGCGCCGGGGAGCUCCGCGGGCAGCAUUGGCCGGGCGCACCGGCUGGUGUUCAUCGCGGCGAACUCGAAGCUGGAGAGGAGGGAUUUCUCAAACGACAACGACAAGGACGUGAGCUGCUCACAGAAGGAGACGAUGACAUGCUAA
rnacentral:rRNA from 1 species